AUGGAGGGGUGGUUGACCUUGAGUUUGAUAGCACUAGCCACGCUACUGGCCCUUUGGUUUUUCAAGCUCUCCGGUGGUAAGAAGCAGCGGCUGCCUCCAGGGCCAUGGAGACUCCCGAUCAUCGGCAGCCUCCACCACGUCGUCAGCGCCCUCCCGCACCGCACCAUGACAGAGCUGUGUCGCCGGCACGGACCCAUGAUGUACCUGCAGCUAGGCGAGGUCCCCACUGUGGUGGUUUCCAGCGCCGAGGCGGUCGGGCAGAUGAUGAAGGCCAGCGACCUCCUGUUCGCGAACCGGCGGACCACCGUGAUGCAGGACGUCGUCGGCUAUGGUGGCAUGGGCAUCAGCUUCGCCCCCUACGGUGACCACUGGCGCCGAAUGCGCAAGGUGUGCGCCACGGAGCUCCUCAGUUCUAAGCAGGUCAGGCGCAUGGAGAGUGUCAGGUCUGAGGAGAUGGGCAGCCUCCUCCGCUCCAUGGCGGCAUCACCUGGCGCCACCGUCAACGUCAGCCAGAAGGUGGCGGCGCUGAGCAACGACGUCGUGGCACGGGCGGUCUUCGGCGGCAAGUUCAGCCAGCAGCAGGAUUACAUCCACGCGUCUCACCGGGUCAUGAACCUUCUGGGAGGCUUCUCCCUCGUGGACCUCUUUCCGUCCUCGAGGCUCGUGCGGUGGUUGAGCAGCGAGGAGCGCCGCAUAAAGAGCAGCCUCGACCUCAUGCAGCGCAUCAUCACCGACAUCCUCGUCGAGCGCAAGGCUGUGCGAGCUGCCGGUAACGGCGACGAGGGGCUGCUAGACGUGCUGCUCACAUGCCAGGAGGAGGACUCGCUGGAAUCCCCUCUAACCACAGAGAUGAUAACCACCGUCUUGUUUGACAUUUUUGGAGGCGCUACUGAUACCACUUCAACCACUUUUGAGUGGGCUAUGUCGGAACUCGUCAAUCAUCCAGUAGCCAUGGCUAAGGCACAAUUAGAGGCCCGUAAGGUACUAGGUCCAGGCCGAGCUAUCAUUGUCAGUAGCGAUCUUGCAGAACUCCACUACAUGCGGAUGGUCAUCAAAGAAACAUUAAGAUUGCAUACACCUGUUCCUCUACUCAACCGCAAGAAUGGAGAGGACUGCAAAAUUAUGGGUUAUGAUAUGCUUAAAGGUACCAAUAUUUACAUUAAUGCCUUCGCAAUUUCCAGGGAUCCUCAAUACUGGAACAAUCCUGAAGAGUUUAUUCCAGAGAGAUUUGAAAACAAUAACAUGGAUUAUAACGGGUCAUGCUUCGAAUUCACUCCUUUCGGGUUCGGGCGACGCCUUUGUCCCGGGAUAACAUUCGCCUCAUCAGUUUUAGAGAUGGCAUUGGCUAACUUUCUCUAUCACUUUGACUGGAUGCUUCCUGAUGGGGUCAUCUCGGAGUCGCUGGACAUGUCCGAGAAAUUUGGGUUAAUUGUACGUAGAAGUUCUGACCUGCACCUCAGAGCUAUUCCACACCUAUGCUCGAAAGCUAUGGAGAUUUAA
rnacentral:rRNA from 1 species